AUAUUUGACUGUUUCCACCUUUGGGUUAUGCUGCUGUGAAUACUGUGUUCGGUUUUCAGGGACCCCACCGGUUCAGUUGCCUGGGGUGCAUCCCCCCACUGGAACUGCCAAGUGACUUGCUGACUUCAUGUUUAACUUUUUGGGGCACCGUCCAACUCCUGUCCAAGCCACCCUUGUGGAGGUGAAGACAGCUCACUGUGGGUUCCAUUUGCACUUCCUGACGGUCAGUGCUGCUGACCAUCUCUUCCUGUGCUUAGCAGCCACCUGUAUGUUUUGGAGAAAUACAUAUUCAAAUAUAUUCUCCAUUUUGAAUUUGUAAGAGUUAUGUAUGUACGCUGAAUGUAAGCCCCUGAUCAGACGCGUGAUGUGCAAAGAUUUUCUCCGUUCUAUGGAUUAUCUUUUCACUUUUUUGGGGGGCGGGAAUUUGGGAUUGAACAGAGAGCCUCCACACUGAGCUACAUCCCCAGCCUUUUAAAAACUGUUAUUUUUGUUUUUAAGUUUGAGACAGUGUCUCACUAAGAUAAAAUGUUGCCAGAUAGGGCUCAAAUUUGUAAUCUUCCUGCCUCAACUUUUCAAAGACUUUUCACUUUCCUGAUGCUCUCCCGAGAAUCAUAAAUUUUCAAUUGUGGCAGUCCAAUUUAUCCUGAUUUAUAUAUUCUAUUUAUUUUGGUCACUUGCACUUAUCUAAAAUCUCAUUGCUUAAAACAAAGUAAAAACAAAGGAGGGUUAUUCCUGUGUUUUCAUCAUUUCUUUUCUUUUUUUUGGGGGGAGGGGUCUUUUUGAGACAGGGUCUCCCUAGGCAGUUCAGGCUGGCCUUGAGCUCACUUUGCAGCCCAGGGUGGUAUCGAACUCACAACGAUCCUCCUGCCUCAGCCUCCCGAGUGCUGAGAUUACAGGCAUGAGCCACCACACCCAGCUAUUCCUAUGUUUUCAUAUGAGAGUUUUAUGAUUUUAGGCCUGACCUGGUAGUACACACCUGUAAUCCCAGCACUGCCAGGCUGAGGCAGACGGAUUACUGCAAGUUUAAGGCCAACCUGCGCUGCAUAGUGAGUUCAGUGCCAGCCAGAACUACAUAAUGAAACCCUGUGUCAAAGAAAGAAGGAAAGAAAGAAAGAAAGAAAGAAAGAAAGAAAGAAAGAAAGAAAGAAAGAAAGAGAAAGUUUUAUGGUUUUAGUUCCUACAUUUAAGUCUUUGGGCCAUUUUUAAUUACUUUCUUAAAAAAUGUGUGAAUAAAGGCCCAACUUCACUCUGCAUGUGGAUACACAGCUGCAUCAGAAUCAUUUGCUGAAACCUUUGUUUUUGUUUUUGUUUUUUUUUUUGGUAAUACUGGGUUUAGAGCCUUUGUGCUGAGAGCUGCAUUGAUGGAAUCUUUGUAGCAAGCUGUGUCCCAGGCCUUUUAAAAUACUUUAUUUUGAGACAGGAUCUCACUAAAUUGCUAAAUUUCCCAGGUGGGCUUGAACUUGUGAUUUAUGUGCCUCAGCCUCUCAGAAUUCUGGGGUUACAGGUGUGUACUGCUACACCUGAUUUUCUUUUUCUCUAAUGAAAUAUUCUGUUUUUCCUCUCUCUCUCUCUCUCCUUUCCUUCCUUCCUUCCUUUGUUUUUUUUUUUUUUUUUCUUCCUUUGUUUUUUCCUCUGUUUCUUUCUUCCUUUCUUUUUUUGUAGUUGAUUGAACCCGGGGCCUUGUGCAUACUAUAGGUAAGUGAUUACUACUGAGCUACAGCCCCAAACCCAAAACUUUUUUUUGCAGAUGUGCUUUGCUCUGAGUGGUGUUAAUGGGAGCUCACAUUCUCCAAACACACCCCAGCUGCUGUUGUCAGCAGUAUUGUGUGCUAGGAAGAGGGUGUUUUCUCUCUAGAUAAUUAAAGCCUGCUCUAGAGUAUGAUAGCCAUGAGUACAAGGCUCAAAGUUUGGUGCACAUCAGUCAUUUGGGGAAAUUGUUUUAGAUGAAGAUCCUCAUGCCAACUCUCAUCUACUACAUGAGAGUUUCCCCGCAACACUCUACCUCUUCCCCAGGUAGAACCAUAAAAUAGUAGAGACAGAAGAGGUCAUUCUGAGUUCACUUAAUUCAUCUCCCAGUUUUAAAUCAGUCAUAGAGCCAGGAAGUGAUUGAUCUAAGCUCUCACUCCCUACACCUCAGGGCCAGCCUGAGUACUUUGCUUAAACCUCCUCUAUACAUCUAAAUCAGAAGCAGUGUGAGUAAUUAUUUUUUUUACUAAAGUUUUCGUGGGAAGAUGGAGAAAAGAAUUACAUCAUAUUCAAUUUAAUUAGCUCUCCCUCAUCUGACUGGCUGGACCUGUUCUGCUUCUAGAAGUUUUCUCCUUGUUUCCAUGGGGCUGCUCGCCCUUUCUCUUUCCCUAACUAACCUUAGAGAUUCUCUUUCUUCCACUCAGCCACCGUCCCAUUUGUAUAUCGCACUCACUAAAACAAAAAAGCAUAAUAGUUACCUAAAAAGUAAAGUACUGCACUCCUGUAAUCUCAGCUACUCAGGAGGCUGAGGCAGAAGGGUCUUGAGGGUGAAGUCAGCCUGGGCAAUGGAGAGAGACCCUGUCUUAAAACCAUAAAAUAAAAAAGGCUGGGUGUAGCUCACUAGAAGAGCACAACCCCAGCUGCUGUGAAACCCUGGGCGGGUUCAAUAUCCUGUACUGCGUAGAUAAAUAAAUACUUAAAAAGCAACCAA